rnacentral:tRNA from 1 species
GCAGGCGUGGCCAAGUGGUUAAGGCAAGAGGCUGCAACCCUCUGAUCCCCGGUUCGAAUCCGGGCGCCUGCU